CCUUCCUCAUUCAUCGGAGAGCUCUCUUUGGGCUUUCCGAAAAGGUAUCACAUGUCAAGUUUGGCCUCACGGUCUUAAAGUUAUAGAGUCAUACAUUUUUAACAAAACAAAAAGAGGGAUGACACACGAGGACUUUCCUUGAAGUCACCCAUCCUAGUAAUACUCUCACCCAAGCACGCUUAACUGUAGAGUUCUGAUGGGAUAUGGUGCAUUAGUGCUGGUAUGAUCGCAUCUGUAACUACAUGCAAUGCAAUCGUAUCUAUUCUUUUUUGAAGACUUUAUGAUCGAUUUGCCGUGGGUCCCACCAGCUAUGUAGGAAUACCCUAUCUUGUUUAUAAGAGCUUUGAUACAUGCAAAAUAUACGAAAACAAUGUCCGUACAUAUAAUUUUUGCCCCGUAAUAUAGCAAAGAUUACGAAAAGGCCCGAAAAAGUACAUUAAGGUCAAAAUUUGGAGUAGAAAAAAAAACUAUAGAAGAAUUCCAUUUUCCUUCCUAAUUCAUCGGAGAGCUCUCUUUGGGUUUUCCGAAAAGGUAUCACAUGCCAAGUUUGGCCUCACGGUCUAAAAGUUCUAGAGUCAUACAAUUUUGACAAA
rnacentral:sRNA from 1 species